rnacentral:rRNA from 1 species
GAUAGUGGCGACGGGUGAGUACACGUGGGGCAUCUGCCCUUCACUCUGGGACAAGCCCUGGAAACGGGGUCUAAUACCGGAUACGAGCCUCCAAGGCAUCUUGGAGGUUGGAAAGCUCCGGCGGUGAAGGAUGAGCCCGCGGCCUAUCAGCUUGUUGGUGAGGUAACGGCUCACCAAGGCGACGACGGGUAGCCGGCCUGAGAGGGCGACCGGCCACACUGGGACUGAGACACGGCCCAGACUCCUACGGGAGGCAGCAGUGGGGAAUAUUGCACAAUGGGCGAAAGCCUGAUGCAGCGACGCCGCGUGAGGGAUGACGGCCUUCGGGUUGUAAACCUCUUUCAGCAGGGAAGAAGCGAGAGUGACGGUACCUGCAGAAGAAGCGCCGGCUAACUACGUGCCAGCAGCCGCGGUAAUACG